UUGUCUCAAAGAUUAAGCCAUGCAUGUCUCAGUACAAGCCAAAUUAAGGUGAAACCGCGAAAGGCUCAUUAAAUCAGUUAUGGUUCCUUAGAUCGUACUUUAGUUACAUGGAUAACUGUGGUAAUUCUAGAGCUAAUACAUGCUAACAGAGUUCCGACCAGAAACGGAAGGAAUGCUUUUAUUAGAUCAAAACCAAUCGGUGUCGUCUUCGGACGUCAUCGUACAAUAUGGUGAAUCUGAAUAACUUUAAGCUGAUCGCACGGUCUCGCACCGGCGACGCAUCUUUCAAAUGUCUGCCUUAUCAACUGUCGAUGGUAGGUUCUGCGCCUACCAUGGUUGUAACGGGUAACGGGGAAUCAGGGUUCGAUUCCGGAGAGGGAGCCUGAGAAACGGCUACCACAUCCAAGGAAGGCAGCAGGCGCGCAAAUUACCCACUCCCGGCACGGGGAGGUAGUGACGAAAAAUAACGAUACGGGACUCAUCCGAGGCCCCGUAAUCGGAAUGAGUACACUCUAAACCCUUUAACGAGGAUCAAUUGGAGGGCAAGUCUGGUGCCAGCAGCCGCGGUAAUUCCAGCUCCAAUAGCGUAUAUUAAAGUUGUUGCGGUUAAAAAGCUCGUAGUCGAACUUGUGUCUCGCGCCGUCGGUUCAUCGUUCGCGGUGUUAACUGGCGUGCCGAGAGACGUCCUGCCGGUGGGUUUAGCUCGCAAGGGCGGCCCAACUCAAUCCUGCCGCGGUGCUCUUCAUUGAGUGUCGAGGUGGGCCGGCACGUUUACUUUGAACAAAUUAGAGUGCUUAAAGCAGGCUAAAAUUUUGCCUGAAUAUUAGUGCAUGGAAUAAUGGAAUAGGACCUCGGUUCUAUUUUGUUGGUUUUCGGAACCCCGAGGUAAUGAUUAAUAGGAACGGAUGGGGGCAUUCGUAUUGCGACGUUAGAGGUGAAAUUCUUGGACCGUCGCAAGACGGACAGAAGCGAAAGCAUUUGCCAAAAACGUUUUCAUUGAUCAAGAACGAAAGUUAGAGGUUCGAAGGCGAUCAGAUACCGCCCUAGUUCUAACCAUAAACGAUGCCAGCUAGCGAUCCGCCGACGUUCCUCCGAUGACUCGGCGGGCAGCUUCCGGGAAACCAAAGCUUUUGGGUUCCGGGGGAAGUAUGGUUGCAAAGCUGAAACUUAAAGGAAUUGACGGAAGGGCACCACCAGGAGUGGAGCCUGCGGCUUAAUUUGACUCAACACGGGAAACCUCACCAGGCCCGGACACUGGAAGGAUUGACAGAUUGAGAGCUCUUUCUUGAUUCGGUGGGUGGUGGUGCAUGGCCGUUCUUAGUUGGUGGAGCGAUUUGUCUGGUUAAUUCCGAUAACGAACGAGACUCUAGCCUGCUAAAUAGGCGUAUUUCGACAUCUUAAAGUCCCGUCUGUACCGGGUUUACACCCGUGUAUUGUACGUGGUUCUUACUGUCGGCGUACAAAUAAUUCUUCUUAGAGGGACAGGCGGCUUCUAGCCGCACGAGAUUGAGCAAUAACAGGUCUGUGAUGCCCUUAGAUGUUCUGGGCCGCACGCGCGCUACACUGAAGGAAUCAGCGUGUUUUGUCCCUGGCCGAACGGCCCGGGUAACCCGCUGAACCUCCUUCGUGCUAGGGAUUGGGGCUUGCAAUUGUUCCCCAUGAACGAGGAAUUCCCAGUAAGCGCGAGUCAUAAGCUCGUGUUGAUUACGUCCCUGCCCUUUGUACACACCGCCCGUCGCUACUACCGAUUGAAUGAUUUAGUGAGGUCUUCGGACUGGUACGCGAUGGCGUUUCGGCGUUAUCGAUGUUGCUGGGAAGAUGACCAAACUUGAUCAUUU
rnacentral:rRNA from 1 species